AAUCAACGCUGGCGGCGUGCCUCAGACAUGCAAGUCGAACGAUUAAAGCUCUCUUCGGAGAGUGCAUAGAGUGGCGCACGGGUGAGUAACACGUAAGUAAUCUACCCUCGAGUGGGAAGUAACGUACCGGAACGGACGCUAAUACCGCAUAAUGCAGCGGCAUCGCAAGAUGACAGUUGUUAAAGAUUAUCGCUUGAAGAGGAGCUUGCGGCAGAUUAGCUAGUUGGUAAGGUAAUGGCUUACCAAGGCUACGAUCUGUAACCGGUCUAAGAGGACGGUCGGUCACACUGACACUGAAUAACGGGUCAGACUCCUACGGGAGGCAGCAGUCGGG
rnacentral:rRNA from 1 species